ACAAGGCGCCAAGUUGUACACCAAUUUGACACAGCACUUCCUCAUCGGACAUUAUUUGUAAUUGAAGAAGAGUUAUUUGUCGAGUAAACAUGUCCUGUUGUGCCAAAAAAUGCGGGAAGCAUUUAUAUUGCAUCCAGGAAAAUGAAGUUAGCCUGGGAGGCGAGAGUGUGUGAGUGCUCAGAGGGCCGGCGGGUUCCAGGCGUGUCACUUUCACCGCCCAUCAAGCAGCUGUCUGAUCAUUGGUGAGCCAAAGUCAUCCACCAUGAGAGCAUUUGCUGCUUUGGAGUGUCUUCAAAAAGUUGUCCCGUCUCUACUGGAUCAUGGGUUCGUCGCUGUGAGAGGACAGGCUUGAGGCGUUAAUGAACAUCCGGGCCUUGUCGCCGUGCGCCUUGUCAGACUGCAGGGUGAAGGACAGGUGGUCGUGCUCCAGGAUGGCAAGGCGGUCCUGCGUCUUCUCCUUCUUCAGGUAGAAUAUUUUCCUCAGCUGCUUCAGCUGCUGCAGCUCGCAGAAGGUCUCCAGGACCACCAGCAUGAAGAUUAAACCCAGGAUCAGGUAGACUGAACACAAAGGUGAUGAUUUUAAAAUUAUUAACAGAAAAAAAAAUGCAACAUUCUCCAUAACUUUAAAAACUGUCAUUCGUACAUUCCUUCACAAGGGGGCAGUGCUCUCUCGUAGUUUGGUGAAUUGACAGUGUGAGUCCACCAAACAGGAAGUGCUUGCUUCCUGUAAAACUCUAACACACUAUUAUAUAUGUACCAGCUAUCUGUCUCAUUUGCAUAGAUUACAAGUUGUGUGCAAAAGACUUGACUUGUUUAAUGACCACAUCUGUCAUUUUGACAAUAAAACGGUAAAGAAUAGGACAGAAAUGUGACUUUUAUCAGGUUUCCUUUCCAAUUAACUUGAAAAAGACACGUUCCUGCAACUUUACACUGUUACGCAAUGUUUUUUUUAACAAAAAAAAUGGACUGAGAACCUGGUUUACUAAAGGUUUGCAUGUGCGAAAACACAUACAAACCUGAUAACACUCGCAAAGGGUAAAGUGAGCAGAAUAAUUAUAUAUCUUUGUUAAUCAUCAAAACAACCACAAUACUGGGAGGAAAAAUGUAAAUAUAUUAUACAGCACGCACGAUGUGAUUUGUAAGAACUCAUCACUGUUUUGCGAGCGUUAUUUAGCAUUUAAUUUAACACGUUUGAAAAGUACGUGCAAACUGGCACACACUCGGUGCUUGCGCUGCAUGCAAAUACAAGCGAUUGACAGAGAUUCCUCUGUCAUACGUCUGUCAUUCAACAUAUUUACAUGGUGUGUCAGAAAUAAAUAAAAAUAUUACACAUAUAUUAUCUAUUCAGCAACAUUCUUUUAUAAAUGUAUAGCUGCAUGCUGGGUGACUUAAGGGGCGGCUUAAAACAAAUUA